AAAAUUAGGUUCUGGCAUCACUUCUUUUUUCUCUGAUAAUCAAAGUUACUAAAUGUGGAUAGUAAUAGUAACUGAAGAAAGCAAAAGCUUUGAACUGUUCUGAAGAUGUUUGAUUGACUCAUGUUUGUGUUUCAUUAUAUUUUCAGUGAGAACAACCCGCAACAACAAACCACUAACAAUAUCUUUAUAUGAUACCGAUGCAUGUUUGCAUGUAUGCAGGACACGUUUGCCAUAACAGUGCAAAAAACAAAUGGAAUAUCACAGAAAGACUGUAAGGAUUCCACCUCAAGUCAUACACGGUCACCUACAGAAUACCUAACUGUCCAACGCAGCUUUGUGAUUCAAGUGUAAUAUUUACAUGCUUGGAGAAAAAAAUAAAGUCUUUAUUCUCUUUUUUUCUUUUGAA